rnacentral:rRNA from 1 species
UACGUAGGGGGCAAGCGUUGUCCGGAAUCAUUGGGCGUAAAGCGCGCGUAGGCGGCCCUGUAAGUCCGCUGUAAGAGUCAAAGGCUCAACCUUUGAAAGCCGGUGGAUACUGCAGGGCUAGAGUCCGGAAGAGGCGAGUGGAAUUCCUGGUGUAGCGGUGGAAUGCGCAGAUAUCAGGAGGAACACCAAUAGCGAAGGCAGCUCGCUGGGACGGUACUGACGCUAAGGCGCGAAAGCGUGGGGAGCGAACAGG